GCCUCGUUAGCUCAGCUGGUAGAGCAGCUCCCUCUUAAGGAGACGGUCGGGGGUUCGAGCCCCUCACGAGGCA
rnacentral:tRNA from 1 species